AACGAACGCUGGCGGCAUGCCUAACACAUGCAAGUCGAACGAGACCUUCGGGUCUAGUGGCGCACGGGUGCGUAACGCGUGGGAACCUGCCCUUAGGUUCGGAAUAACUCCCCGAAAGGGGUGCUAAUACCGGAUAAUGUCUUCGGACCAAAGAUUUAUCGCCUUUGGAUGGGCCCGCGUUGGAUUAGCUAGUUGGUAGGGUAAAAGCCUACCAAGGCGACGAUCCAUAGCUGGUCUGAGAGGAUGAUCAGCCACACUGGGACUGAGACACGGCCCAGACUCCUACGGGAGGCAGCAGUGGGGAAUAUUGGACAAUGGGCGAAGGGCUGAUCCAGCUAUGCCGCGUGAGUGAUGAAGGCCUUAGGGUUGUAAAGCUCUUUUACCCGGGAUGAUAAUGACAGUACCGGGAGAAUAAGCUCCGGCUAACUCCGUG
rnacentral:rRNA from 1 species